rnacentral:rRNA from 1 species
UACAGAGGGUGCGAGCGUUAAUCGGAAUUACUGGGCGUAAAGCGUGCGUAGGCGGCUAUCUAAGUCGGGUGUGAAAGCCCCGGGCUCAACCUGGGAAUUGCAUUCGAGACUGAAUAGCUAGGGUGCGGUAGAGGGAAGCGGAAUUUCCGGUGUAGCGGUGAAAUGCGUAGAUAUCGGAAGGAACACCAGUGGCGAAAGCGGCUUCCUGGACCAGCACCGACGUUCAGGCACGAAAGCGUGGGGAGCAAACAGG